ACGCACUUAGUAUAGUGGUUAUUACAGCUGCCUCCAAAACAGCGAGACGUGGGUUCGAAUCCUACAGUGCGUGC
rnacentral:tRNA from 1 species